rnacentral:lncRNA from 1 species
AUGUUCCCCUUUUAUAUGUUUGAUAUGUCAGAAUUUGUAGUGUUAUCUAAUCUCUUAUUACUAAUAAUAGUAAUUUGUAUCUUCUCUCUUUUUUCCCCUGAUCAGUCUGGCCAAAGGUUUAUCAAUUUUACUGAUCCUGCCCCAAGAUCCAGCUUUUGUUUUUCUGAUCUACUUAAUAUUAAUGAAUUACAAGGAGCUGCACUUCCGGAGUCAAAUUUCUACGUGGACAACACAACUGCUGCUCACGGUGCUACGGGAGGUGACAGCUUUGCUGACAAAACUAAUCUGCUGGUGGUGCUUGAGGAAAAGAAGCCCUUGCAAAUUUCUAAACAACAAGAAACUGUCAGGAAACUUCUAAAGUGUCUUACAGGCCAGAAAGGGAAAGAGGUUAGUAAAAUGCCUCAACAGAGUUUGAAUAAAAUACUGAUUUGAGAGUUACUGGAACUGGAGAUGUAAAAAUAGGGUGGCAGGUUGGGUCAUGCUUCCGAUGGUCUCAAGUUCAGAUAAACUACGUGACAGUACACCACUUCGCAGGCCAGGUGCGCUCCAGCAGCUUCAAUCUUGGGAAAGUUACUUGAUAUUUCUAAAGCCCCAGCUUCAUCAAAAUAAUAGAUUUCUUCAUAAUAAUUUGAACUCAUUAGGUUGUGAGAAUUAAAUAAACUUUGUUUAGUUUAGCAGUUGGCAUACAGUAGACAAUACAUAUUUUAAAGUAUUAUUUAUGCUUUAUUGUUAUAUGAGACUCUUGGGCAUUUUUCAAUACAGGAAAGGGUCAGUGAAAAGGGGAAGAUCUAUCUGAUAGUCUCAGAGGAGAUAGAGCAGAGAGGGAUUUCAGUAGUAGAGAGUCAGCUUUGUAACAGAGGAAACAUACUUCUUGCUGGAGAGGAGGAAAAGUGAAAGAAUGGCAGCUGACAUGAAGUUUUAAGGUCUAGGGAUAGGAACUUGAGGAUCUUGUAAAGUGACCACCAUCUUUUUAGCAAUGUUAGUUGUGAAAGAUUUAUGAAGAUGAAGAAGAAAAAGCAUGUUUUGAAUUUUUAAGGCUAAGUGCGGAGAAGUCUAAAACAGCUCCUGGGAGAAUAUUUUUUUAAAAAAGAAUAAUUAGGGAAUUACUGUUCGAUAGUGUUGAGUUCGUUUUGGAAAAUGGAAAAAUGUUCUGGAAACAGAUGGUGGAGAUGGUUGCAAAACAGUCUGAAUAUACUGAAUGCCACAGAACUGUAUGCUUAAAAAUGGUUGAAAUGCUAAGUUUCACAUUAUGUAUGUUUUUCCACAAUUUGAAAAAUAAAAAUGGAAGAAGUAGAAAGAUGGGAAUUUGUAAGCAGGAGAAUCCCAGUGUUCCCUAGCUUAGGGAUAGAGAUAAGCUGGUACUAAUGGUAGUUAGGAUGUGGUUUCUGCGUGAUAUGUUGAGAAUUAUUAGUCAGAGAGGCAGGAAUUGGCAUCACCAAGGAUGACUACAGCAGAGGCAAUGAUGCAAAGCCAGUCAGGGUAGUUGAUAACCAGAGCGGAAAGUCAUUAGCAUUAAUUGGGUCUUGAGCUGGGUUAGAAAGGGAAGUAGGCAAGAUUGGGCACAUUUGGGGUAUGGCCUAGACAGAAGAGGAAGUAGAAAAUGAUAAGUAUGUAAAUUCCUCUACUGGCAUUGGGAAAUAGGCAAAUAAGAAAAGUGAGUGGUUGUAUUUGAAUACAAUGAUAUUACCAAGAGAAAGUCACAUUUUAGAUUAUAAACAGAGGGGCCGGGGACUUAGCUCAGUGGUUCUGCCGCCUGCCUCACAAGCGCAAGGUCCCGAGUUUGAUCCCUGGUACCAAAAAANNNNNNNNNNNNNNNNNNNNNNNNNNNNNNNNNNNNNNNNNNNNNNNNNNNNNNNNNNNNNNNNNNNNNNNNNNNNNNNNNNNNNNNNNNNNNNNNNNNNAGUGGUUCUGCCGCCUGCCUCACAAGCGCAAGGUCCCGAGUUUGAUCCCUGGUACCAAAAAAAAUAAAUAAAAAUAAAAAAUAAAUAAAUAAAUAUUGAAUAUCCACUUUAUGCUAGGGAUUAUGUA